GCUUCCGGAACGGGCUCGCGGAGUGCGAGUCUAUGGCGUCGGCGACGGCUUGGGUAGUUCCGUGGAGAGCGUGGGGAGUGGCGUGGGCCCCUGCGCGGCGUGGGCGGGGCGUGCUCCCCGCCGCGCUCCUCACCCGAAUUCCCUAGCUGGGUCAACUCUGCUGGACCGGUCCGGACGACAGGCUCUGAUAGGCUUCGUCUUGGGCGGUGACCUCUUGACUGCCCGUCCCUUUAGACAGGAAGUGAGCAAAUGCUGUUGGAAAAAUGGUGCCAGUAGACUUGCCCAACACAUGGGUGCCACAAAUCUUCAAUUUGUAGAAGUGCGGUAUCUGCGAAGCACAGUAAAGUGAAGUGCAAUAAAAUGAGUGUGCCUGAUGUUCUUAUAAGAAAAGGAAGUUUGGACCCAGGUGCAGAGGGAAGGUGGUAUGAAGAUACAGUGAGAAGACAGCCAUCUGAAGUUAAAGAGAGCAGUCUCACAAGAACCCUUCCCUGCUGACAUCUUGAUCGCAGAAUUCCGGCCUCCAGAAUUAUGACAUGAUUGUGUGUAGAAGUUCCUAAGGAAUCUCCAGAACUUACGUUAGAGCUAAUGAGUGAAUUAAGAAGGCCACAGGAUGCAAGAUCCUGAAGGAAAGCACGUCUUUCUCACGGGUUCUUUUUGAGGAUUAACGGAUAAUGUGUACGGGGCCUGGCACAUCGCAGUUCGGGGCAGAAUGAGAGCACGUGUGCAUUCCGUGCACUGGAGUUUAAAUCUCGACUCUUGCUAAGACACAAAGUGACUGUAAGUUGUGUGUUUAUCAAUUGUCUACUUGGUCCAUGGAAGCAGGGAAAAGUCAUUUUCUGUGCAGAAUUGGAAAAUUGUAUUUUGUUUACUUACACUGAAUACAGAGAAAGUUCUACCCUCCCUUUAAAUUAGAGAUUUAUUGAACCUACUGCUUAGCAGCUGCUUCAGAAUAUUUUGACAUUAGAUGUAGGCUCUUAGAAAAAGCACGUAUUUAUGAAAAAAUAAAACUUUGUGAAAUGAUCUUUCUCGGCAGGAGGCCAGCUAGCAAUGGACACGUGCUGGGUCAACUAUUGUAAAUGGAGUUCUAAUUUAUUAACUUACAGUGCACACUGCUUUUGGAGUUCUAUCCCAAUGAGUGGUCGUCUUCACAGUGCCCUGCAGUGCCUACUGCACAGACCACAAGAUUUCUCCCUGCAGACUUGCGUAUUCAGUGUGUGUGGGGGGGGUGUGGGAAUUCUUCAGAUUGCGGGCUAGAGCUUCUGUUUAGAUGCUUGUCUGAGCUGAGAACUCUUCUGGCACUUAGCCAUGAUGAUUAACACCAUGGCCUUCAAAUUGGCCGGCCAUGGAUUCAAGCCAGCUCUCGUUCACUAACCAUGUGAACUCGGGAAGGUAGCCUUGUGUCCACUCAUUUUUAAAAUGGAGAUACUCUUACCACAACCAUUGUGAGUGACAAGGCUCCGAAAGUAGAUUUGUCACAGAAUAAGUGCUAGGUAUCUACUUUUUAUAUAUAUAUAAAAUUGUAAUUAUUUCUAUUACGGUUAUGACCAACUAUAUGCCAUCUUGAGUAUCUACUGUGGGAUUCUAAAGCAGAGCUCCUUGAAUGAGAAUGACUUACAGAAAAAUAGCAAAGCCAGUAUUCCUUUCUUAAGCGAUAUCUGGAUUCAGUCACUUUUGAAAUGUCAUCGUCACCUUAAUUAUCUUAAGAACAUACUCUUUCUUUUUUGUUUAUGCAUCAUUUUUAUCAGAGAACUUCGUGUAGGGAGAAGAUUUGUUUCUUCCUGUGUAGCAGGCAGAAGUCAGUCUGUGACCCCUGCUAAGCACGGAGCCUUCAGGGGGCAGCUGAAUAGAGCUUUCUUGCAGCCUUGCUCUGGUUUUUGUCCACGUGUCCACGGCCCUAAACUUUACCAGUUCCAGCGCGUGUGUAAACCACAGAAUAAUGGAUAUGAAAUUGGAAAGCUCGCACCCUGAAACUCCGUUGCCAGGGAAUGCAUAGCAGUGUUUAUAGGAAGUAAAUGGUGCUGCCAACACAGUAUCCACUUUCAGCUCUGAUGUCAAGCAGGAAGCAGCUCUUCCUGCCAGAGGGGCCCAAGCGUCUAGCUCCGCUCUCCUGUCUGCCUUCAGCGGGGCGGGUGUACGCUGUGUGCACGUUUCCCUGCAUCUUUCUGGGGACUCCAGGCGGGUAUGUCCCAGAAUGUCCCUCCUCCUCAGAGAUGCAUUCUCCUAGAUCGGAUCAUCGUUGGUAACCCUUCCCUUUCCUUUGGUUCCCGGCUUCUUUUCAAUGGGUCCAGACUGGCCUAUUUCUCUUACGGACUUUGAACUGAGGGGGAUCCGUCAGGCGCAGUCUCAGCGGCUGACCACUUGUCCUGGUGUGCCGGGCUACACCACUUGUUCCCAUAAUUAAUACGACUGCUCCCUUUCACUUGCAAAGUGACCCGGUUUAGAAAUAAGUUGUAGGAGUCUCAGUCCCGAGUCUCAGACAGUGUGGGCACAGCGUUCGCACUGCUGCUUUAGCCUCUUUCCUUCUGACGGAGACUGGGAAGAGGAGGUCGGUGUGCCUCUCCCUGGCUGUGUGUCUCCCCGGCUGGGUAGGCUGCAGUGCAGUGGGGUCUUGGCCAGUCCCCUCUUUGCCAGGGUCCCUAACUCUGCUACUGAGUUCCAGGCAGCCUGUAGUUCUUUGACAGGGGUUGGAAGCGGAAGGCUGGCCCUAAGGGCAUCCUUGGAUGGGAAUACACCACACCCCACUCUGUGCCAACCCAUCCUGAAUAUGGCAGUUGUAUUGCCUUCGGCAGAUCUAAGCCAACGGGGCUGGCAUGGGUGGAAGAAGUCAUGGUUAUGGCCAACUCUGGGGACUGCUCAGAGCAGUAGGGGGUGCCUGCUUAGUUUUCUGUUCAGUGAAUCCUGGAUAUUUGGGCCUGCAGGGAAAUACUAACAUUUUUCCCUACCAGCUUUGCCACCCUCUCUCUGCGUUAUAUCGGUUCACAGAGUCCAGUAUAUAACUCCAAAAUGUAUUUUUCUAUAUAUCCUCAUUGAUGAUGCAGUUAUUAUAAUUUUUCUAACUUUGGCAUAUGAUAAUCUCCAUCUUCUAAGUAAUGUUGCUGAUUUUUCCCUUGUGUGUGUUCAUGGCCAUACAGCUCUCCAUGGGACUUUAGUAGAGGAUAAAUCAGGCACCAAUAAAUUGACAAGUUAACUCCAAAUUCCCAAUUCAAUUAAUACCUGGUUGAGUUAUGUCCUUAAAUAUUUCCAUUUGUUUUAUUCUGUCUUCAGAUGCGAGGUGGUUCUAUGAUUUUUUAUUAAUACUGUUUACAUGGCAAGUAAUAGAAACUGAUCCUGGCUUGAGAAAAGGAGAAUUUAUUGGAAAGAUAAUGGAAUAUCUCGCAGAACCCAGGAACGAGCUCAAUAACCAAGGCUUGAGGAAAGGGAACAGGGAAGCACUGAGGUCCUGGCAGCAGGGGUCCAAGGCAGCAUGGGGACAGUAACAUCUGCUGUGUAAGUCUCCAGAUUCUCAGCCCCAAAUUACACAUUCCUGGCACGAAAUCUGAUGGCCCGGUUUGACUGUGGCAUGGGGGUAGGGUCACUUAACACAGACAUGACUGUUGGACAGUGUUCAGAGCAGGCAUACUUGCAGCAGGUCAGCCUCUUUAAGUGGUGUCUACUCCAGUUUCCUAUGUGGGCUAUCUUGGUUACAUCUUUUGUAUCAAAACUAUCGAAAUAUGAAAUGUUCUCUCAGCAUUUCCCUUGGCCAUCUCCCACAUUUGUGCAUCCAGGACAUCUGUACUCUAAGGAAAGGCAUGUGAUAGCUAAAAAGAGAAAAAUUGGAUUAUUUUAGAAGGAGUGUUCUUAUGAGAUGGUAAGGAAAUUAUUAACCCAAGCCUUCUCUACCAAGAUUAUUCCGACUUGGGGAAGGGCAUAACGUUAGAAGGGAAACUGCGAGAAUGAAAAUACCAUUAGAUCUCAGCAAGAGUGAGCGGGCAUGCUGCUCCCCAGACCAAGCCCCAGGCGGGUGACAGAAACCCCGCCUGAUUCGUGGAGCUGAGACACUCAGGGGUUCCUGGAGAGACAGUGAGACCCGCAGAAGAAAGGAAUAAUUCCCAAGCACGUAGGAGCAGCGUGGAGUGGCAGACAGCCACCGAACCCAAGAGUUCAUGAAGAUGGGGAAGACAAACAACCCCACACACAAUCAACUGCCUGUAUCACGGGUCAGAUGGGGGGAUGGACACGCCAGUAGAUGCCUGGAAUGCAGCAGAAGGUGCACAGAUGAAUGAAUGAAUGAGUGACACUGUGGCAGUUUGGUAAACUCCCUAGAAUUUAGACACAAUCUUGGUGAAAUUUUAGGUUAAAAUUCUUCCAUCCUGAGUUGGAAAAGGAAAACAAAGAAAAUUUACAUUUCUGCAAUGACUGAGGUUGUAAACUGAUAUAUCUGCAACAUUUACUUACUAAAACUGAACUGCAUGCAAUUGUAACUUUUUCUGUGCUGGGGGACUUUUUAUAUGGGCUUGGGUUCAUUUAUUUCUUGAAAGUUUGAGAGCCUCCACCAUCAAUCCUAGCUGUACACAUACAAAUGUAGCUUUUGUGGAAAUGGACAAAAUUUUGACAUUUUUGACAGUGGUUGUUUUUUGAAGAAAUGAAAUUAUUUACUCUUCCCUCUUGCUGUGUCAGUAUCUUAAAAUACAUUUCCCUUUGUUAAAAAGUGAUGUAUCCAUUUGUAUACGAUUUAAAAAAUUCAAGUCAAGCAGAGGGAAGACAAAUUAUCCAUAAUUUCACUACUCAGAGAAAAAAUACUGUUAAGAAAUUGGUGUCUAUUUAUCUGUAAUUCUUAAUAUAUAAUACUUUACAUUUUAAUCAACUUUAUUUUCCAUUUCUUUUAAACAUUUAAAUUCAUUAUAAUUGUGUAGUAUUUACUUAUAAUUUUAUUUUAAAAUAUUUUAUAAUGUUAUUCUUUUUAUUAUUUUAGUACUUGCUCAUUGUAAAGGAUUUGGGAAACAUACUAAAAUAUAAAUAAUACAAUAAAAACCAUCACACAACUUUUAACAUUUUGGUGUUUUUUCGUUUCAAAUCUUUGUGUGUAUACACAAGCAUACAUAGGCAAAUUUCAAUUUUAUGUAUAUUGUUUUAUAAUUUAUAAAUUUAAAAAUUCUCAUUUAUUUUCUUUUUCACUGAAUAAAUUUGUCUCAAAUUUAUCUAUUUCAGUUAUCUUCUAAAAUAUUUUUUUCUUGGUGCAUCCACUGUGGAAACCAGUAUUGGAGGUUUCUCAAAAAACUAAAAAUAAAACUACCAUAUGACCCUGCAAUUCCACUCCUGGGUAUAAAUCUGAAAAAAGCAAAAACGCUAAUUCAGAAAGAUACAUGCACCUCAGUGUUCAUAGCAGUGUUAUUUACAAGAGCCAAGACAUGGAAACAACCUAAGUGUCCAUCAACAGAUGAAUAGAUAAAGAAGAUGUGGUAUAAAUAUGUGUGUGUGUGUGUGUGUGUGUAUAUAUAUAUAUAUAUAUAUAUAUAUAUAUACACACACACACACACACACACACACACACAAAAUGGAAUAUUAUUCAGCCGUAAAAAAAAAUCUGCCAUUUGCAGCAACAUGGGUGGACUUGGAGGGCAUUAUGUGUAGUGAAAUAAGUCAGACAGAGAAAGACAAGUACUGUAUGAUCUCACUUAUAUGUGGAACCUAAAAAAUACAACAAACUAGUGAAUAUAAUAAAAAAGAAGCAAACUCACAGAUACAGGGGACAAACUAGUGGUUACCAGCAGGGGGAGGAGGGACACUAUAUGGGUGGAGGAGGGGGAGGUACAAACUAUUGGGUAUAAGACAGGCCCAAGGAUGUGUUGUACGACAUGGGGAAUAUAGCCAAUAUUUUGUAAUGACAGUAAAUGGAACGUAACCUUUAAAAAUGUAUAAAAAUAAAUUAAUAAAAUAACAUAGCUUUUUCUUAAUUAUAUAUUUUUAAUUAUUUCUAGUUUAGGUUUAUUAUGCCUGUUCUCUUAAGAGAACUUCCUUGUUGCCACUCUUUUCUUGAUUGUUUUAUUUAUUUUCUCCUCUUUAUUUGGAAUUAAGAUUAUGGUAAAAUUUAGGCUGAAGUGUGUGAUUUUCUUGUUAUUUUCUAAAUGUAUAUUCUUGUGUUUUUAUUUUUCCUCCUUAACUCAAUAGUUAUUUGAGAGAUUGAUUUAAAAAAUAGAUAUACAAAUUGAUUUAUUUUAAAAAUAGCAUUUUGUGUGAUUGCCACACAUUAGAGAAAAAUAUGAAAAACACAAUUAACUGAAGAUAACUUUAUUCCACGAUUCAGAGAUAACAAUUAUUAACCUUUAGUUGUAUAUCCUUUUUAUUUUUAUUCUAAGCAUAGGCAGAAUACAUUAAACUAAGGUAAUAUUGUAAAUACUGCUUUAUGAAAUACCUUCUUCCAGUUCAUAAUAAACAUAAAUAUUUUACCACAGUGACCUGUAGACUUGCACUGUAUUAAUACAAGAUAAUUUAUGUAACUGACACCAUUUUAUUGAAUGUUUGGAGUAUUUACUCCCUUUUUUCCUGUACAUAAAAUCAUUAUGGAUUUCUCUGAUUAUUUGUCUAGGAAAAUUCUGUAAGUUGAAUUAUUGGAUCAAUUUUUAAGGGCAUUCUAAAGCUUUUGAUUCAUAUUAGCAACUAGUCCUACAAAAAAGUCACACAAAAUUACACUCUCAUUAGUGAGAGACAAGAAUGCUUUUUCCCUCUAUUCAUGUCCUCAAUUAAGAUUAUUUAAACAGCUGUCCAUUUUAUUUUUCAUUUUAUAAUGUUUCUACUACCAUUUUUUUGUACUUUGAUACCUAUUUGUAUUUCUUUUUUAAUGAAUAACUUCACAUUUUUAUUCAUUAAAACUUGUUGGUUCCAUUUCUUUUUGUUUAUUUAUUAUAGCUUUUAUAAGUUUGUUAUCCCUUUGUGGACCAUAUGUUUUUUCUAGUUUGUCAUUUAAAUUUGUUUUUGCUUGCUUUUCCUAUUUUAAAUGUUUAACUAUUAAUUUCCAAUUUUGUUGCAUUUUGAUCAUUGCAUAAAAUACUAUACAAGUGAUAAUUGCUAAUAUUGUUGUACACAUGAGUAUGACUGUCUCCUAGUUUUAAUACAUCUUAUCUUUGUGUGGUUAUCUCCCCAUUGCCUUGAGAAAGGCAUUCUCUGCUUACUUCUCUGGUAAUAUUCUUCUCUGUUCCUUGUUACUUCUAUAAGAGCCCUCACAGUUAAUUUUCUGACUCUUGCUCUCUUACCUGUUCUCAAGUAAAUAGUUUGAUGACAGUUUGAUGUUUCUUCAUGCAAUAUUCAGUCUCUUACAGAAUAAUAAGACAUUGUAGUGACCUAGAAUGUCAUGGUCUUUCCAGUUGAGGACAUUGUAAUUUUAAUUUUAAUUUUGUGAGGAUGUGUUAUUUGGUGUCUGAUACUCAUAUAAUAGUCAUAUAUGUAAUAUAUGUAUAUACCAUAUAUACCAGAAUGAGUAUGCCAGAAUAUAAACUAUGACUGUCCCAACAAGUAAAAUCAAAGUGGUGUUUAUAGAAUGAAUACCCCAGGAGGACCUGGGAUUCCAGUUUCCUGAUAGAUGAGCGAUGAAGGGAUUCUUGGUGCGAUACUUUUAUUUACAAGUAAAUGGUUGGCAAUCAAUAAAUCAAAGGGAAAAAUAAGUAUUUUUCAAUAACCUCAAAUUGUUGCAAUUCCAUUCCAUUUUCUUCUGCAAUUGUUCUCUCUCCUGAGUAAUCUACUUCUUUUUCUCUCUCUCUUUACCACCUCAUCCCAAUCUACAGAAUGGUAUCUCCAAUCCUAGAAUGAAAAACAAACAAAGAAAACAUAGCAAAUAACAAAGAAGUUCACCUCCCUUGAUUCCAUAUCACCUUCUGCUCCAUUUUCUGCAAUACUUCAAAGCAAAUGCGUUGCUCGCAUCCAAGAGAACUGGCGUUUCCACUUCCUCCUCUGCCCAGGUCCCCACGGUAGCAGCUCUUGCCAGGUCACCAGCACACCCGACUUGGUCCUGUCCUGUUUCCCUGCUGGCUCAGCAGCAGUGCAGACAGAUGACAUUGCCUCCUCCUCAAAACGCCCUCUCUCCUGGUCUCCUCCUAGCCCUCUGGCUGCUCCCUCUCAGACUCCUUUUUUGGAUCCUUUUCUCCUUGGUUUGAAAGCACUGAGGGACUCUAGACUCUGGACCUAAUAUCGGGCUCACUCUCUUCUCUGUCCACGUAAUCUCCCUUCAAGGCUUGAUCCUGUCCUGUGGACUAAAGGCUUUUUUUAUGUCUGACUUCUUUUACUCAGCAAACUACUUCUGAAAUUCAUCCAUGGAAUUGCAUGUAUUGAUAGGGUUUUCUUUUUCAUUUUUAUUGCUGAUAUUUAUUUAUUUAUCCACCUAUUGGUGGACAUUUGGGUUGUGUUCAGUUUGGGGCUAUUAUAAAUAAAGUUACCAUGAACAUUCAAGUUAAG